rnacentral:rRNA from 1 species
AAUGAACGUUGGCGGCGUGGAUUAGGCAUGCAAGUCGAGCGCUCAUAGCAAUAUGGGAGCGGCGAACGGCGUAGUAAUACGUAGGAACGUACCCUCGGGUCGAGGAUAGCUAUGGGAAACUGUAGGUAAUACUCGAUAACCUCUGCGGAGCAAAGGUGUGAUUCCGCCCGAGGAGCGGCUUACGCGAUAUUAGCUGGUUGGUAGGGUAAUGGCCUACCAAGGCGAUGAUGUCUAGGGGGUGUGAGAGCAUGGCCCCCACGACCGGAACUGAGAUACUGUCCGGACACCUACGGGUGGGCUGCAGUCGAGAAUCUUCCGCCAAUAGGACGAAAGUACUGACGGAGCGACGCCGCG